CGGAACAGAGCACAUGCGCAAAGAAGCCCUCUAGAACCACAUGGCUUAAGCCCCUAGUGACAGAUUGGGCAUUUGAACCUUAGAGAAAAUUGACACUACUAAAAAGUUUCCAAAUAAGAAGUGACAGUGAAAAUAAUGAUUAUGUCGGCUAGGAUUUGGAGAGAUUGGAAGACAAAUGGAAGGAACCAGAGUAGAGGCGUUCAUGGAAGAAAAUGCCAGUGUUUACCUACCUGCUGCGCUUCCAUCUGUUAGAGUGGUGCAUGUAUACACAAAAAUCAUAUUUCCUUUGUAUGACUUUGAAUGGUAGACCAUAAGGAAGACCUCAUUGGCACCGAACGACCACAUAUUAUCUCUUUAGUAUGAGAAUAAACUAUGACAUCAUCUCACAUCUGGACAGUUGAUGCUGGGAACAGGUGCUUUCAAACGUUUCACACUAGCAACACUGAUUUCCGAAAUAUCCAGAGGUCUUGCGAUGCAGCUGUUUUUUGUUAAGAAGAAAGUACGUAUUUGGCCA
rnacentral:lncRNA from 1 species